rfam:Fervidicoccus fontis Kam940, complete genome.
GCCGCGGUAGUAUAGCCCGGUCAAGUAUGCGGGCCUUUCGAGCCCGUGACCCGGGUUCAAAUCCCGGCCGCGGCA